UUCUUGAAUACUUCCUAUCAAGCUGCCUUCUAUCAUGGUUAAAGUUCUGCGAGGACGAACAAUGUUGAUGUGACCCAUCUGAUUGAUGAGGUGCGUAGUUGUAGCUAUAACCUUCUUGACCAUAAAAUUGCUGGGGCGGGUGGUUGUAGCUGUAGGUUUCUUGACCAUACGNACCAUACGAGGAUUCAGAAUAACCAUGAUUUGAACCUCCCCAUGACGACGAAUUUGAACGUAUAGAAGAAUUGGACCUCCAACUUCCCUCCCUUGAAUUUUUGCCCCCCAUCAACUUAAUUAUCUAUAAAACUUUGGCAAUUACUUUUCUUCCCUGAUAGAAAACCAAACCUUGUGAAGAAAGAAAAGAAAAAUGGCAGAGCACGAGAGGUAGAGUAAGGUUUCCUCCUAAUACAACAGGAUAACAACAAAAACAGCUUGUACUAUUCUUUAUUCAAACCAAUAGCAAGGAACACCUAACAGCAAAAGAGCUCAAAUAUCAACUGAAAUAUAUUUUAUAAGCCAGCAGAUG
rnacentral:misc_RNA from 1 species